rnacentral:lncRNA from 1 species
UCCCCCCCAUUCCAUCCCCCAGAUGGCAAGUAAUCCAAUAUGUUAAACAUGCACAAUUCUUCUAUACAUAUUUCCACAAUUACCUCGCUGCACAAGAAAAAUCAGAUCAAAAAGGGGGAAAAAAAUACAAGCAAACAACACAACAAAAGGUGAAACUAUGCUGCGAUCCGGCUCGCUGCUCGCUCUGGGGGCAGACGGCUCUCUCCAUCAGAACUGAGCACUGUCCGGUCUUGCUGUUGCCGUGCCCGACAACGUGCUGGUUACAAGACCCUUGAAACAGUAACGGGCAGGCGCACACACUCACACACACACACAGUUAAAAUAAAGGACUCGGACGGAAUCCGGCCAACUUCAGCUGAAAAACAAGAACAAGGGCCACAAUCGCGGCACUAGAAAGAGCGAACAAGAGCAGGGAUAACUGAGGGAUAACGAAACUACGUUCGCCAAACGGUAGCAGACACUGUAGAAGGGUUUACAGCAAGUCUCUCUGGGAAGGUCUCCUUUCUCAAGCACACCGGGGGCUGGGAAUUCCACGUCACUGUCAACCGAUACAUGACGAAAAGAGAGGAACGGGCAGCUUUCAGAAGAAAGAACCAACUGUCGUCAUAUAAAAAUGCUCCAAAUCACCGUUCAGGGAAACGCGAACUGAGCAACUCUCCGACACUCUCUGACCCUGUGAGGAACGGCGGGGCGGGGAAGACUGAGAAAGGUGGGGGCGCUAAGAAUGGCCGGGGCAGGAGCCGGGACUAUGGCGCCGUCGGAUCGCGUCUGGCCCCGCGAUGCCGCUUAAAUCUGCGUCCCACAGAGGGCGAGGGAAAGGGGAAAGACUCGCACGCACACAAAUGUAGCGGUUCUUGCGCGAAGAACCAGAGCGAAACGUGGCUUCCCCACCAGUCAGGGGGCCGGGGCCGCCUCCUCCCGGUUUCCUCAGCUGCGACAUUCGGGAAGCGCUUUCCGGACCCCGCGCGCUAAGGAACCUGGGGGCGUUUACUGCUUAUGAGAACGGGAAGCGCGAACCACCAAAGGAGAGGAAACGCUGGGCCCCGCACUCACGUGGCUCGAGAAAGUCCCGCCCCGCCGGUCACGUGAGCUCCCUCCCCCCCCGCCGAGAGAGGGCCUUCCCUUGAGGGUCGCGAGAACAGCCGAGACCUCCCAGGUACUAAACCACCACGCCGGGCCCUGACGCGGAGAAACGCGGUUACCUCACCUUCGGCCAUAUUUAUUCCUCUGCGGCCACUAGAACCCAGGCGGCCCGGCGGGCGGACUGUCGUGCGCAGAAGCGGGAAAACCCAAGUCUCGCGAGAGAGGGGGGGGGGCGGUCGGGGCAGCGGAGGGUGCAAGGGAGUCACGUGGAGGCGUGGCUCCGCCCCCUUCGGGGAAGUCACGGGGUAGGGCCUGCUGACCCUUCCCUGUCUUUUUUCUCCCAUUGCCCGAGACUCGCUAGGAAACUGAGGCACAGGCUGGGGAACGACUCAGUAAUUGCAAGAGAAAAGGUUUGAGGUCAUCUGAGGGCGCCAUUUUCUAAAUCACAAAGUGAGGCAUGCGCACUUGGGCUAACGAGCAUCUUCCCGCCCCAUCAAGGACAACGAGAGUGGUUCUUCGGCGCCCUCUACAGGUGGCUCUGGGUGAUCACAAGCGGCGUGGGCCGCAGGGCCUCCCCCAACCGUGACCUCAUGAAUGCGAGGUGGAAGACCUAAGGAGACAGGUCAUCCUGGGGGCGGUCCCCGGGGAGCUCCACCCCUCGCUCAAUCUCUCCUCCCAGUCUGCCAAUGUUUGGGCCGUUGGCCCCGCGUGAGCCCCUCCGCCCACAGCACCGGGGGGGGGGGGGGGGGGGGGGGGGGCCGGGAGGGAGGGGAAGGAUCGCAGAGAGGCCGCGGGGGCUUAGCGGGACCGGGCGGGAGGGAAGCCGGAAGCUCGCGGCCGCCCGUGUGGGGAAGGGGCCGGGGCACAAGGACUGGGGGGCUCUCCCCUUCCCGCCUGAGCCCCCGCCCCCCCCCGGGAGCGUGAUCCCCACGAAUCCCCGGCAAACGGGCCGCCGCCCUGAGCUCUAUCGGGCCGGUGCCCGCUGGUCUCGCUCCCCCCAAACUGCCGCCUCCGAAGUCACCAGGAGCUCCGACCCCCCCCCUUCCCGCUGCGUUGCUGCUCCGCCCGCUCCCCUUGUCCCCGCGUCCGGGGCCUGCCCGGGCCCUGCCCUUCCUCCGCCCCCUUGCCGCCCCUCUGGUCCCCUUCUUGCCCUCCCUGAGCCUGCAGCAGGCGCGCGUCCGGACCCGGAGGCCCUCGCACUCCCAUCCUCCCCCUGCCCCGCGUGGCCCCCCGUCCAGAGGUGCCAGGGCCGCCCUUCAGCCCCCAGCAUAAAACUGGCCUUCCUGCUUUCCCUGCCCCUUCUCCCCCCGCGGGCCCGGGACCCGCUGCCUCCCUGCCUCCGGCUUCUCUGCUUUCCCUCUGGGGCUCCUCCAGCGUGUCCCGGCGCCGGGCAGGGGCCUUGCUUUUGUGCUGGGCGCCAGAAGGGACCCGCCGCUUUCCCGCCGGACUUGACUGGAGAUUUGUUCCUGGGAUUUCCUUUCCGGGGAAGGGUUUGGGACAGAAGACCCUCUGUUCCCGCCCCUCACUGUCUGUCUCCUGCCGGUCCGGGCCCCUGCCAGCCCCCCCAGCUGGGCUGUGGACAUCAGAGCAGGGGUCCACCCUGAAGGCCUUUCCCGAGCUCAGGGGGAGCCGGGUGGGCGCUGACAGAGAAAGCUGGAAGCCCCGCUGUUCCCAGAGGCAAGCGGGAGGAGCGCCGAGAGGAUCGCGGGGAGUGGGUCUUUUGUGGACUUUUAUUAUAGUCCCACCUCUGGUGGAUUCUUCGUUGAAGAACAUUUGCAUUGACAAAAUCAUCCUAACCCCACAGUUGCCACCUCCAACCACAGAGCCGAGAUUGCCUUGCCCCUAUUAAAGGCUUACUGUACGGUGAUUCCUUGAUAACUCUUUUUAGGGUAACAAAUUCGUUUUAGGGUUAGUCCUACGGUCAAUAGGAUAACCCCCCUCC